AACGAACGCUGGCGGCAGGCUUAACACAUGCAAGUCGAACGCCCCGCAAGGGGAGUGGCAGACGGGUGAGUAACGCGUGGGAAUCUACCCAGUUCUGCGGAACAACAGUUGGAAACGACUGCUAAUACCGCAUACGCCCUACGGGGGAAAGAUUUAUCGGAAUCGGAUGAGCCCGCGUAAGAUUAGCUAGUUGGUGGGGUAAUGGCCUACCAAGGCGACGAUCUUUAGCUGGUCUGAGAGGAUGAUCAGCCACACUGGGACUGAGACACGGCCCAGACUCCUACGGGAGGCAGCAGUGGGGAAUAUUGGACAAUGGGCGCAAGCCUGAUCCAGCCAUGCCGCGUGAGUGAUGAAGGCCUUAGGGUUGUAAAGCUCUUUCACCGAUGAAGAUAAUGACGGUAGUCGGAGAAGAAGCCCCGGCUAACUUCGUGCCAGCAGCCGCUGUAACAC
rnacentral:rRNA from 1 species